UACGUAGGGCGCAAGCGUUGUCCGGAAUUAUUGGGCGUAAAGAGCUUGUAGGUGGCUUGUCGCGUCUGCCGUGAAACCCGAGGCUCAACCUCGGGCGUGCGGUGGGUACGGGCAGGCUAGAGUGUGGUAGGGGAGACUGGAACUCCUGGUGUAGCGGUGAAAUGCGCAGAUAUCAGGAAGAAUACCGAUGGCGAAGGCAGGUCUCUGGGCCAUUACUGACACUGAGAAGCGAAAGCAUGGGUAGCGAACAGGAUUAGAUA
rnacentral:rRNA from 1 species